AGAGUUUGAUCCUGGCUCAGAAUGAACGUUGGCGGCGUGGAUUACCGCAUGCAAGUCGUACGCCCCGCAAGGGGCGUGGCGCAAGGGUGAGUAAGGCGACGGCAACCAACCCCGCGGCCGGGCAUAGCCACUCGAAAGGGUGGGUAAUUCCCGAUGCCCCAGAGUGAUGGCAUCACCAUCCUGGGAAAGGUGAGAUUCCGCCGUGGGACGGACCGUCGUGGUAUCAGCUUGUUGGCGGGGUAAUGGCCCACCAAGGCUAUGACGCCUACCGGGCGUGCGAGCGUGGCCCGGCACACUGGGACUGAGACACUGCCCAGACUCCUACGGGAGGCUGCAGUCGAGAAUCUUCGGCAAUGGGCGCAAGCCUGACCGAGCGACGCCGCGUGGAGGACGAAGGCCUUCGGGUUGUAAACUCCUGUCGAGGGGGAACAAGGGGUGGUGCAGAGCCAUCCUUGAGUGAACCCUGGAGGAAGCACGGGCUAAGUUCGUGCCAGCAGCCGCGGUAAGACGAACCGUGCGAACGUUAUUCGGAAUCACUGGGCUUAAAGCGCGUGUAGGCGGCCCGGCACGUCCGUCGCUGAAAU
rnacentral:rRNA from 1 species